GAUCAUGGCUCAGGAUGAACGCUAGCUACAGGCCUAACACAUGCAAGUCGAGGGGCAGCAUGAACUUAGCUUGCUAAGUUUGAUGGCGACCGGCGCACGGGUGAGUAACACGUAUCCAACCUGCCGAUGACUCGGGGAUAGCCUUUCGAAAGAAAAAUUAAUACCCGAUGGCAUAGUUCUUCCGCAUGGUAGAACUAUUAAAGGAUUUCGGUCAUCGAUGGGGAUGCGUUCCAUUAGGUUG
rnacentral:rRNA from 1 species